rnacentral:rRNA from 1 species
GACGAGCGCUGGCGGCGUGCUUAACACAUGCAAGUCGAACGGGCCCGCCCCUGUUUUUGGGGGUGGGUUGAGUGGCGAACGGGUGAGUAUCACGUGAGUAACCUGCCCCCUGCUCCUGGAUAACUGCUUGAAAGGGCGGCUAAUACGGGGUGUGCCGGCUGGUCCGCAUGGGCCUGGUCGGGAUAGUUUCAUCUUCGGGUGUUUCGGUGGGGGAUGGGCUCGCGGCCUAUCAGCUUGUUGGUGGGGUGAUGGCCCACCAAGGCGGUGACGGGUAGCCGGCCUGAGAGGGUGGGCGGCCACACUGGGACUGAGACACGGCCCAGACUCCUGCGGGAGGCAGCAGUGGGGGGUAUUGCACAAUGGGCGGAAGCCUGAUGCAGCGACGUCGCGUGAGGGAUGGAGGCCUUCGGGUUGUGAACCUCUUUCUCCGGUGGUGAAGGCCCUGUCCGUUGCGGCGGGGUUGACGGUAGCCGGGGAUGAAGCGCCGGCUAACUACGUG